GCGCCUUGCUCUGGAAACUUCACUAAGCACAGGCAGGAGUGUGGUUACAUUACAUCUGAAUGCAUUCCUUUUCCCCCUCGUUUCCUACCUUUCCAAUUGCACCGUCCCCAACUCAGAACUUUUCUAUCUCCCUUGUAUUUUGUCUGCCAGACUGGAGCCAAGGGGCAGCCAGAAUCGCAGACAUGGGGAUGAUAACCACACGCCAUCAGCCUCUGCCAAUCUGAACAACAGAUAUCACUGCUAGAACACAUUCACAUAAACAGAAGCCAAAGUCUGAAAGAAAUACCUAUUGUUGAUACCUCUCUGCAACCGGAUGCUGUAACUCUUAUUCUGGAUGGGAAACAUCAGCCUCAUUUCUGACCUGAUUCUAUGGACUUCUGAGAGCUCUGUGAUGUCAUGGAAGAGCUCCUGACCUAAAGGGGACACAUUGUUUGAACCAGAAAUAUCAGGUACUUAAACCAGUUUCUACAUAUUUUGGCAUAAUAUAUUGGGUUUUGGUUUUUUGUUUUAAAUCCUUUCAUUCCUGACAGACCACAGAACUAAAUCCUUGGGAAACAGCCUCAUCUCAGCACUGUUGAAUAACAUUUGGGCUGUACUCUCUUCAGAAGUAUUUUAUAAAUACAAGAAUUGGUCAUUUAGACAGGAAUUUACUACUGUAAAAACGUGCAUUUCUGCUUUCCUGUGAUGACUGCUAAGGUCUCACUUUCUCAACACUUUAUCGGACCAGACAAACCACAGCUUCCUGUGACACAGUGCCCAGGUGUUAUAUUUGAUGUGGAAUACAACAUUUACUCUCUUACUGAUUCUGAAUCCAGUUCGACACCUAUAAAAUUCCAUUCACAGACUACAGAAAGCUGCCAACACACAGGAAUUUUAGAGCACUGCAAUGAGAGGAGAUGAUGCUUAAGAUACAUGACACAGACUUCACAUUCUGGUAUUGCAGAUAUUAUUAACUGAGAGAAAAAGAAUAGCAGGGUGCCAAGUUCAGCCACCUGAAUGUUGGAAACAGGGCAACAGCAGCAUUUGGAACUUCUAUUUUAUUACACAUAGAAUUAUACUAUUUUAUUUAUUUAUUUUUAAUAUAAUCAGUUGGCAUUUCACACCAGUCAUAUGACACUUUUUCACAGUCUUUAUCAAAUGUACACGACAAAAUGUUGGCUUCAGUAAAACCUAUGGGAAGACACAGGUCGUCAUCUUCAAGUACCAUCAGUUUGGGCUGUGUGCAACACGAGUUGAAAUGUUUCUAAUCAAAGUUUGCUUCAAUGUGCUACAUUACAACAACAUGCUCCUGAAUAUCUGAGUGUUCAGAAUUAGUCUGUAAUUAGUCUUAUUUCUUAACACAGGCUGGAUUCUUGUAGGCUGGCUUUCUGUGGCCAAGAAUACAUCAGUGUAGUUUAAAAGCUAACUAGGAAACGCUGUUUCAGUUUAUAGGAAUUCGAGAUUAUGGAUGAUUAUUAGCUCUUGCACAGUCAAAAUGUUGCCUCACAUUUUCUCAUGCCACAUUACAGUGUUGCCCCCUACACAAAGCUCAGGUUUCCAUAUCCUGAGCCACCACACUUUUGCAUGUGCCCAUUUAUGGCUCAAAUCACCACAUUUCCUCCUAAACAGGUAAUUGACCUCCUUACAAGGAAGGCAGGAAGACGUAAAAACUUUUAAUUCCAAAAUGCUGCCCUUGAUUCUCUUUCAUGAUUUAAAAAUUAUCAUGAUUUUAAAAUGUAUUUUGAAA